rnacentral:rRNA from 1 species
UGCGAGUCAUUGUAGCAAUACAAGGCAGACGGCUCAGUAACGCGUAGUCAAUCUACCCUAUGGACGGGAAUAACCUCGGGAAACUGAGAAUAAUGCCCGACAGAACAUUAUACCUGGAACGGUUUAUGUUUCAAAUGAUUUAUCGCCGUAGGAUGGGACUGCGGCCUAUCAGUUUGUUGGUGAGGUAAUGGCCCACCAAGACUAUUACAGGUACGGGCUCUGAGAGGAGUAGCCCGGAGAUGGGUACUGAGACACGGACCCAGGCCCUAUGGGGCGCAGCAGGCGAGAAAACUUUGCAAUGUGCGAAAGCACGACAAGGUUAAUCCGAGUGGUUUCUGCUAAAGAAACCUUUUGCUAGUCCUAGAAACACUAGUGAAUAAGGGGUGGGCAAGUUCUGGUGUCAGCCGCCGCGGUAAAACCAGCACCUCAAGUGGUCAGGAUGAUUAUUGGGCCUAAAGCAUCCGUAGCUCGUUUUGUAAGUUUUCGGUUAAAUCCAUACGCUUAACGUAUGGGCUGCCGGGAAUACUGCAUAACUAGGAAGUGGGAGAGGUAGACGGUACUCGGUAGGAAGGGGUAAAAUCCUUUGAUCUAUUGAUGACCACCUGUGGCGAAGGCGGUCUACCAGAACACGUUCGACGGUGAGGGAUGAAAGCUGGGGGAGCAAACCGGAUUAGAUACCCGGGUAGUCCCAGCUGUAAACUAUGCAAACUCAGUGAUGCAUUGGCUUGUGGCCAAUGCAGUGCUGCAGGGAAGCCGUUAAGUUUGCCGCCUGGGAAGUACGUACGCAAGUAUGAAACUUAAAGGAAUUGGCGGG